rnacentral:rRNA from 1 species
GACGAACGCUGGCGGCGUGCUUAACACAUGCAAGUCGAACGAUGAAGCCGGAGCUUGCUCCGGUGGAUUAGUGGCGAACGGGUGAGUAACACGUGAGCAAUCUGCCCUUGACUCUGGGAUAACUGCGGGAAACUGUAGCUAAUACCGGAUACGACACCUUGGGGCAUCCCAGGGUGUGGAAAGAAUUUCGGUCAAGGAUGAGCUCGCGGCCUAUCAGCUAGUUGGUGAGGUAAUGGCUCACCAAGGCGACGACGGGUAGCCGGCCUGAGAGGGUGACCGGCCACACUGGAACUGAGAAACGGUCCAGACGCCGACGGGAGGCAGCAGUGGGGAAUAUUGCACAAUGGGCGAAAGCCUGAUGCAGCAACGCCGCGUGAGGGAUGAAGGCCUUCGGGUUGUAAACCUCUUUUAGCAGGGAAGAAGCGAAAGUGACGGUACCUGCAGAAAAAGCACCGGCUAACUACGUGCCAGCAGCCGCCGUAA